GUGUCAGCAGCCGCGGUAAUACGUAGGGGCCGAGCGUUGUCCGGAGUUAUUGGGCGUAAAGCGCGCGCAGGCGGCCUCGCGCGCCCGACGUGAAAGCCCCCGGCUUAACCGGGGAGGGUCGUUGGGGACGGCGGGGCUUGAGGGCGGGAGAGGGUGGUGGAAUUCCCGGUGUAGUGGUGAAAUGCGUAGAGAUCGGGAGGAACACCCGUGGCGAAGGCGGCCACCUGGGCCGACCCUGACGCUGAGGCGCGAAGGCGUGGGGAGCGAACGGGAUUAGAUACCCCGGUAGUCC
rnacentral:rRNA from 1 species